UACGUAGGGUGCAAGCGUUGUCCGGAAUUAUUGGGCGUAAAGAGCUCGUAGGCGGUUUGUUGCGUCGGCUGUGAAAACCUGAGGCUCAACCUCAGGCCUGCAGUCGAUACGAGCAGACUAGAGUGUUGCAGGGGAGACUGGAAUUCCUGGUGUAGCGGUGAAAUGCGCAGAUAUCAGGAGGAACACCAAAGGCGAAGGCAGGGUUCUGGCUCGUUUCUGACGCUAAGGUGCGAAAGCCAGGGGAGCGAACGGG
rnacentral:rRNA from 1 species